rnacentral:lncRNA from 1 species
UUGGGUCAGUGAUUUGCCCAGUGAUCCGCCCAGAUCAAGCUGAAGCAGAAACCUGGAGGCAACAGGCAAAAGUGAUAAGGUCAGUGAUUUGCCCAGGACACUCGAAGACACUGGCCAAAUCACUCGCAGAAGACAGAGAGAACUGACUCACAGAAACAUGAUCGGGUCUGUGAUUUGCCCAAUCACUUGAAGAAACUGGUCAAAUCACCGGGCAAAUCACUUUCACAACAGAAACUGACAGCAGAGCGGG